UGUGGGAGCGAGCCUGCUCGCGAUGAACGAUGACGCGGUGUUUCUGCUAUUCCGCGCUGCAACUAUUCGCGAGCAGGCUCGCUCCCACA
rnacentral:misc_RNA from 1 species